CCACUGCUCGCCCUCCGGCUCUAGGUUAGCCAGUGCUAGUGGGCAGACGCCAGCUGGAGUCCCUGACCACCUCUGGAUUCUGACACCCCUGUGAACGUCAGAUAGACCCCCAGGCAGGACCCACCACGGAUCUAUUUGCCUGAGGGUCUAAGAGAACCCCUGGGAAAGCAGACAGAUGUGCUUUACCAGAAACAAAGUCCCAGUGUCCAAAGGGACUGAGGUUUAUGAGCACAGCUUCAUGUUAGGUGCAAAAUAAUUGACAUGUGUUGGAUUGACAAAUAUACCAGUGCUCCUGAGAUGAACCAAGAGAGAAAACAGGAAACAAUCUUUGAACAGCAGAAGGAAACACCAAAGAUGGGGAUGUAGACACAGGAAGGUAAAGACUCUUAUCUAAGAUCACACAGUUGCAUAUGGGAAAACUGAUGAAACUCCAUUCUGCAAAUAAAGAAAUGGAAGCUCAAAGAGGCUAAGGGGUCUCAACCAUGUACCCAAUGAAAGGGGACUUCAACUAUCUCCAUUUUGGCCUAAAACCUUCUAAUUGAUUAAGGUCUUCUUUCCAGCUUAUCUCUUAAGUAAAAGACCCUGGGGGCAAAGCAUCCCAAAACAGGAACUGAAACUACCUCCUCAAGACUAAGGACUGCCCUAAGCCAGCAAGACCCCAUGUGAUUGACCUCUAAGACAAUGAUCACCCUGACCUUUACUGCCCGCCUGCGUGUACCCACUGACCUUUGUCCUACAUUUUCCUUAUAUUAUCCUAGAAGCAUUUGGAGUACUUUUGGAGAGAAUCUUUGAGAUGCCAGUCCUCUGUCUUCCCAGU